UGACUUCUACAUAAGUCUAAUUACGAUUGCUUAACAUAGUGCUAAAUUUGCCUUAUGGCACACUAACUACUAACACUAACUAUUAACCAUUAACAUUUAAUUUUGCUCUUUACUUUUAUGCAAUUUACUAUUCUUGUACAUAUUAUUCAUUUGCUUUUUCCUUUGUGUAAUACCUCAAAAUUUGCCCUCCUCUCUUGGGACUAGCUUAACAUAUUGCAUUGCAUUUCUUAAGUCAUUAGUCAUUAGCAUGUUGGAUAUCAUAUGGCUACAUUGAGCAAG
rnacentral:lncRNA from 1 species